AAAGUAAGAUUAAAUACUGUUUCAAAUUUGAUUUAGCCAGCUAUUUAGUCAAAUACUGACACAGGUUCACAUUACAGCAUUUAACACUGUUCUGAAAGUAUAAACAGCAUGAUCGGCAAAUCUCACAUUUCACUGAAAGUCUCAUUCAAUAAUAAACACUUGCGUACACUAUUCAUAUUUAUAUACACACGUCUCACGAAAACUUUCCACCUAAUUCACAACACACGCAUGCGCCACAGCAAUAACUGAUUAAUAAUGAUGGCUAUAGAAUGUAUUUGACUAAUAACAAUUGUUUCAGAAAUUCUUGAAAAAGGAAGUUAAAUUUCUCUGCUGCUGUUUGUUUCUUUCCUUCUCGGUUAAGAAUGUUCCAUUUAAUUGAGUUUCUGGUCAGCAAAACUGUAGCAGUAGUGCCACAAAAGUGGUGCAGCGAUGGAGUUGUCUAUUGGCCAAACUACAAAAAUGAUGAAAGAGUGAACAGGGUAGUGAAAAAUUCUGAGGAACCCGGACCUGACUGGAAAACAUAUGAUGCCAGAGUUAUUAAAUCAUGUGAUGACUACUUUGAGGCACGACAACUGUUGAAGAAAUCUCUGAUGUGUAACGCAUCAGUUCUACAGUCUGAAGAGGAAGUGAAGGAGAUUUGGCCAAAAAGAAGGCCAAAGCCAAUGUUAGUAUACAUAUAUUUUCCUUUUAUAUUUUACAUAAACUUUUACCGUUAACAUUUUCUACAUUAACUCUAUAUUUGCUCAAAAACAUAAUUUAGUGUUAUAUGAUAAACCCGACAACCACCACACAGGUGAAGCCAGCUGAAAUGGAGUUUCAAUGGUCAGUGUGUUUCCUGGUUUCUCAGAGAAACCAUUUUCAACCAAUUACACUGAUUAACAACUUACGUUCUUAGGCCAGUGAAAAUGUUUAUGUAAUUAUUAAUAAGAGCGUCUGCAGAUCAAGGUAAGAUGUUUACUGCUCAAUGUUGUUUUUUUUCCAAACCAUUUUAUAGUCAUUUCUUGGGAGACUCUAAUGACAGUGAAGAGGAAGGUGCUCCUAAAAAGAGAGCCAGGGGACCAGGCAAACUCUUAAUACAACCACCAGCUUCUUUUAUCUCACCACCACCUUUUACCCUAAGUAGCGGCACAUCUGCUCCACCUCCACCCAUUUCCCGUCCUCACUGUUCACAGACACCAGCAGAGGAGCAAACCCCUUCUGCAAGCAGGGUCUACAGACCUACCUGGCGGUGGGGAAGAUGUCGAUCAGACAGUAUAGCCUGCUCUGCUGCAGAAGUCCACAUAAUGAGCUUGCUGGAAAUAAUAAAACAUCAACAAGAGCAAAUCAUGUCUAAAGUAAAUUAUUAGACGAGCAAGUUGAACCCAGCAGGCCAAGACAUGGAAAUGCCUGGCGAUGCAGUUGAGUUUCCAUUAACAUCAAUGGAAGAAGUGGAGAAUUUUGAGGAUUGGCUAAAAAAUCUAGCAAAUAAUCAAACAAAGUUUAGUGUGAUUUCCUCCCUGGCAACUAUUGGGGGCCAUGACACCAAACGUGUCACAUGGAACCUGCUUUCCGGCAUGUUCCAUGACGAUCUUGAGAGGACGAUCAAUUGCAAUUGAAUGGGAAAAAAUCCAAGAGUCCAAGAAGUACUCUUGUAUGCUGUGAGAAAGAACCAUGUCUCCCGCACUGCCACCGAUGAGGAAAUUACGAAGCAUGUAAUACGGUGGUUCAACCUGGCAGCAGAUAUGGGAAGCUCAAGGGGCCGUCCCACUGUCAGCAUCCUGACCCAAGAGUAUUUUAUGUUCUUUUUCAUUUAGUGAAACUAUGUUCUUGGUACAAUUUAUGGUUGAAGUUAAUUUUUUCUG